rnacentral:rRNA from 1 species
UACAGAGGUCCCGAGCGUUGUUCGGAUUCAUUGGGCGUAAAGGGUGCGUAGGCGGCUUCCUAAGUUUGAUGUGAAAUCCCGGGGCUCAACCCUGGAAUGGCAUUGAAUACUGGGAGGCUAGAGUACUGGAGAGGAAACUGGAAUUUACGGUGUAGCAGUGAAAUGCGUAGAGAUCGUAAGGAAGACCAGUGGCGAAGGCGAGUUUCUGGACAGUUACUGACGCUGAGGCACGAAGGCCAGGGGAGCAAACGGG